AGAGUUUGAUCCUGGCUCAGGACGAACGCUGGCGGCGCGCCUAACACAUGCAAGUCGAACGGAGCUGAGAGGAGCUUGCUUUUCUUAGCUUAGUGGCGAACGGGUGAGUAACGCGUGAGUAACCUGCCCUGGAGUGGGGGACAACAGUUGGAAACGACUGCUAAUACCGCAUAAGCCCACGGAUCCGCAUGGAUCUGCGGGAAAAGGAUUUAUUCGCUUCAGGAUGGACUCGCGUCCAAUUAGCUAGUUGGUGAGGUAACGGCCCACCAAGGCGACGAUUGGUAGCCGGACUGAGAGGUUGAACGGCCACAUUGGGACUGAGACACGGCCCAGACUCCUACGGGAGGCAGCAGUGGGGGAUAUUGCACAAUGGGGGAAACCCUGAUGCAGCGACGCCGCGUGGAGGAAGAAGGUUUUCGGAUUGUAAACUCCUGUCGUUAGGGACGAUAAUGACGGUACCUAACAAGAAAGCACCGGCUAACUACGUGCCAGCAGCCGCGGUAAAACGUAGGGUGCAAGCGUUGUCCGGAAUUACUGGGUGUAAAGGGAGCGCAGGCGGACCGGCAAGUUGGAAGUGAAAACUAUGGGCUCAACCCAUAAAUUGCUUUCAAAACUGCUGGCCUUGAGUAGUGCAGAGGUAGGUGGAAUUCCCGGUGUAGCGGUGGAAUGCGUAGAUAUCGGGAGGAACACCAGUGGCGAAGGCGACCUACUGGGCACCAACUGACGCUGAGGCUCGAAAGCAUGGGUAGCAAACAGGAUUAGAUACCCUGGUAGUCCAUGCCGUAAACGAUGAUUACUAGGUGUUGGAGGAUUGACCCCUUCAGUGCCGCAGUUAACACAAUAAGUAAUCCACCUGGGGAGUACGACCGCAAGGUUGAAACUCAAAGGAAUUGACGGGGGCCCG
rnacentral:rRNA from 1 species